rnacentral:sRNA from 1 species
UUUUAGCCCUGAUGGAAGUGGCAUCCUUUUCUUGCUUCGUUUUUUAACGAGGCAAAAAAGAUAUAACGGACAGCAGGAAUAGCU